CCACUGAAAAAGGUUUCUUCUCCACAAAAACCAUAGGCAUACACCAUAUUCUGAUACACGUUCCAUCAACACAUAAACGCCAAAUAUAGAGAGAUCUGAAGCAUCACAGGAUUCUUUUUUUUUCCUUUAUCUUUUCUUCCCUUCUUAGCGCACACACGACAUACACAAAUCCUUACUCUCUCAACACAUAUAUAGACAUACAUACACACAGAUAUUGGAGAUGAGGGAGCUGGACAGAAAGAAAACUAGACACAGAGAGGCAUUUAAGCAUGAGAGAGGCAAUCAGAGAGAUUGAGAGGUUUGAGAGAGAGAGAGAGAGAGCUCGAUAAUUGAGAGAGAACGGCGAGGAGAGUUCCUUUUCGGCGACCAGAUCUCGUCGAAGCUCCUAAAAAUAGCCAAAAUCGGCGAUCGACCCUAUUGAAACAACAAAAAUUGAUGACCGAACCUGACCCAUUUCUACCCAAUUCCAACGAGAUCCACCAAAAAAUGAGAGAAAAGGUAAAAUGGUUCUAUUUAUUUGUGGUGUUCUAUUCUGAUUGGUUAGUUCGAUAUUUCGAUCGAGUUGGCGUGUUCAUGUUGAGUUCUUUGAGACGAGGUCCUGAGUUCGUUAGCUCUAUUGAAUAAUUUGGGGAUUGAAAUAAAAAUUGAGGUUUGAUUCUUCAACUCUAUCUCUUUUAUUUUUACCUCAAUAUGAUAUGUUGAUGUUGUGAUUUGUAUGAUUUAUUUUGGGUUGAUGAUAUGAUCUUGAUUGUGUGGUUGAGUAAUUCUAAUUUUUUUGAUUGAUUCUAUGUUUGGUUAAUUAACCAGGAAUGAUUUGAACUCAUUUGGAGUAAAUUUUAAUUUGGGGAGACGUAGACGUUGAUAUAUAUGGAUGUGAAUUAAAUUUGAUUCCUUGUUAGUGGUUUGAUUUGAAAUAAACAUUGAUAUUACUAAACAUGAUAGUAUCAUGAUAGGUCGAGUUGGGUAGGCAAAUGGUAGGCUCGGGUAGGCAACUUCAGGACUCGUGAAAUAUUAAAUGCUUGAACUAUGUGUUGAAUGGCUUGGUUUCAUUGCUUUUGAAUUCAAUAUAUCAUUUGGCUGGGAAAUGCCCCGAGGUUUCAUGUAAUUAUUCACCGGAAAAUGCCCUGACGUAUUAUGUCUUCUAAGGAGGUUCGUGAUCAAGGCCCGAGGCAUUGGGUAAAGCAUUAGAGUGUAUUUUAGGAGUAGUUUAGAAUAAUGUAGGUUUAUAUUUUUCUGCAUUUUAUUUUUCUUUUGGACUGUAUAAUUGGACUGGACAUUAUAUUUUGGAUUGUUUUGUCUUGUUUAUGUGAUUGAUUAUUUUUAUGUGUUUUGUGUGGUUUAUACAUUCGUCAUAAAAAAUUAGCCGAUAUAUAAUCCGCGACCGCGGUCAAACCACGGGACCAAGGGGUCACUAACACCUUUCCCUUGGGCAAUAGAAUUCCUUAGCUAGAAUCUCUAUUCGUAAAUCAGUUUUGAAAGAGUCAAAAACCAUUUCAAAAAUGAUUUUCAAAGGUGACUUGGCACACCAGAUUAUGUCAAGCGGCGAAUCUUAAUAAAAAAUAUAAAUAAUCCUUUUUCAAAAUAAAUUUUUAAUAUUUUGUCACUUUACUAAUAAAAACUCUUUCAAACCUUAAAAUAUAAUCUUUUCGGUUGAAAGAGGGGGUGCGACACUCACUUCUACUGCGCCCUUUUGGAGCAGAUCCUGGUUUGAGUAUGCCUCACGAUGAUUGAUUCGAACUACCUUUGGAGCUAUUCGAGGUAAUGUUUGGAUUCCUGCUUCCGGUGUUGACUACUAUCUUUCUUUAUUUAGACUAUGUCUUUAUUCAUAUUCAGAGACAGAGUAUUCCUAUUUUGGAUAUCUUAUAUAUUUGAUCACUAGUUGUACUAGUGAUGUUCUUACAUUGUGACACCAUAUUUUAGGAUUAUGGUAUUAUUAGUUAUGUUCGCAUAGAUUGCAUGUAGCAAAGAUGAAUGAUAUAUACAUAUCUAGCUAUUAUAAUUCCCAAAGCAUGAAAGUAUAAUUUUCUAAUAUAUAGAAAGAGUGGUUUCAACUUGUCAGCUAUUUGACAUUAAAUUAAAAAAUAAGGGUAUUAAGAUCUUUACAGAAAAUUGUAAGCUCAGAUUGAAAAUCAUUUGUGCUUCUUUUUGUGGACCUAUCAAAAGUUCUAAAACAACGUUCACUCUUUUCUCAUUAAUUACAGACAUAGCCAUGUAAGAAAUUUAAGAUAAAUGUCAUCACAUGUGGCUCUUUAGCCUUGCAUUCGUUUCCACAAGUGGGCCCUCUAUCUGUCAUCUAUUUUUUAUUUUUAUUUAUCUUUUUUUUUUUUCUGAAAAGAUAUAAUUAUUCUUUAAAUUGUACUUCUCAUUAUAUUUAGGAUGAAGUUGAGUACCUACGUGCUACUUUUAUUUAGGUUAUAUAAUAUAAAAUUAUUUCAAAUAUAUUAGUUUAAGUAAAUUGAUUAAUAAGAUAAUAAUUUAUUGUAAUAACUACAAUAUGAUAAAUAUAAUUAAAUAUAUUUUAUUCUUUAUUUACAUUUCAUAUCAAACAUAUAGUUUUCUUUCUUCCUUAUUUGUUACAUGAAAUACAAGUUUGACUAAUUUAAAUUUUUAAUAUAUAAUUAAUAAAGCUAAUUUAGUAAAAUAAAAUUUUAAUAUAAGGUUGAGCAUAAUUCUUUAUACCAACAAAAAGAAACUAAAGAAAAAUACCUAACAAGAUUUUACUUAUAUAAGGUUGAACAUAAUUCUUAACUAAAUAAUAAUAAUUAUUUAUUUUUAUAUAUGCAAGUCAUAUUAUCCGUAUUGGAUUAAGCAUACUAUUCCUACGAGUUGAUGAAUUUUUUAAUUAAAACUUUGAGCAUAAUUACUUGUUGGAUUGUAGUGAUUUUAAUCGCCUCAAACUCAAAGAAAAAGUUUUAAUAUUUUAUUUUUAAUAAACUUAAUAUAUAAAAUGUAUUUUACUCAUAUAAGUAUUUGAUUAAUUCAAUAGUUUCUCAAUUUAUCUAAAACCUACCAAAUUAUGAUUUUAACUAAAUGAACCUAAUAAUUAGUGUUUCUUUGAUUUUUAAAAUAAAUCAAAAUUUCUAUAUCAUCCUUGAAUAAUUAUUAUUAUUAUAAUACAUUUAUAUAUUAAAAAAUUAAUAAUAUUUAAUUAAAAAAUAAAUAGAUAUUUAUGGCAUGUCUGCUUCAAUUGUAAUUUUUACUAUAUCAUCUCUAAUAUUUAUUUUAAAUUAUUUAUAUAUUAAAAAAUUAAUAAUAUUUAAUUAAAAAAUAAAUAGAUAUUUAUGGCAUGUCUGCUUCAAUUGUAAUUUUUACUAUAUCAUCUCUAAUAGUUAUUAUAAAUUAUUUAUAUAUUAAAAAUUUAAUAAUAUUCAAUCCGUGAUUUUAUUAUAUCACCCCUCAUUAAUUAUUAUAAGUCAUUAAUGUAUUAAAAAUUUAGUAAUAUUUAAUUAAAAAAACUAAAAUAAACAUUUAUGACAUAUCUGUUUCAACUGUUUCAAUCGUGAUUUUACUAAAUCACCCCUAAGUAAUUAUUAUAAGUCAUUUAUGUAUUAAAAAAUUAAUAAUAUUUAAUUAUAUCCCAUGAUUCCUUUAUAUAAGAACAAGGGUGACAUCCAGAGUUGUACCAACUUAGGGGUAUUAAGCUAUUGAGUCACACAAUGAAGAUUUGGGAGAGAGUAUUCGAGCCACAAGUAGAGAUCGACACCUUAUAUACUACCGGAGUAUAAAUAACUUUCAACAUUUGCCAAUCCUAGUGUGAGGUUUAUAAAGGUAAGAAUUCUUACGAUGUGGUGAUGAGAUUUUACUACUAAUCUUGUUUGUUCAUUUUAUAGGCACAAGGAAUUAUAAGGAAGUAUGACUUCAGUAGCCUUGGAUACAUAUGACUACGACAUAGGACACUAUGGUUGUAGUGAAGAAAGUUAUGACUAUGAUGAAGAUAGAGACUAUAGGGGCUAUGAAUAUAGCCAUAAACAACAGUUGUGUUAGAAUGAGGGCUACUAUUUCGAAGGAGAAUAUGAGAUGAAUAAUGAUCCUAUUUCCUAUAAACAGUACAGAGAUAAUGAAGAUCCUUGAGAAGGUUCUUGUGAGAAAGAAGAAGAAUGAGAGGAGUAUUACACUUCCCACUCCGAUCAUGAAGACGAUGAAAGGUAUAGGUUUUCUUCUUAUGCACCUUCUAAAAGUUAGGUGAGAGUACACAUGUGAGUUACGAAAAUAUAACAUCUAAAAUAACAAUCCGUAAAACUGAAGAUUAUCUAAAAAUCUAGUCUAAAAGUCUCUAAUCUAAACUGUCUGAAAGUGGAGUUGAUGGGACAAGCCCCCAACUAACUCCAACAGAUGAAAUACUGAAACUACUGAAAUAAAAGUGUGCCCUUGAUAGAUGAGGACGCACUACUCAAUCUGCAACUAUUGAUUGGAUCUGUCUAAGCACGACCAACAACCUAAAUGUUCGAACCUAUGAUAUGAGACAUCAUAGCGCAAAGAAAUAGUAUGCGGUCAGUAGGUGGAAUGUACUGGUAUGCUAGAUGAGGUAAGGCUAAAUGCAAGGAUUCAUAUGCAUGAACAAUAACUGACUGAAUGAUAAAAAGUAACUGGACAUGAGAGUACAUGGAUAACUGAUACUACAAUAAAUACUGAGUAUGCACUGCUGUGCAUGUAAAUAAAUACUGUGACUGGGCUUAUCUAAAGCUAAGUAUUGAAUUCUUAUAACUGAGUAACCAAUUUCUAAAGUUACUGAUAACUGAAUUACUGAUACUGAGUGACUAUGUCUGACAGUCCUGAAUCAUUAGAAUUGAACUGAAUUCUAAACUAAGACUGAAACUGAGACUGUGAGAGGUAAUCAUCUAACUGACAUGCCCCUCUCUGAACUAAUUAGGGUCCAAACUAUAAUCCCAGCUGGAAGGGUGCUAUUACCAUGCCACGGGUACUAACACUGGAAAAUCAAGAUGCUAAGCCUAACUGACGGGUGACACCUGGGCGGAGCCAAGCCUAAUCUAAUGGGUGACCUCUGAGAGGUAGUAAAUCCUAGUCUGACGGGUGACUUCUCAUCCUGCACUGGAUAUGAUGUUCUGGAGUACAAGUACUGCUACUAACAACUCUGCCUCUCUAAUGGGGAAGUCAUCAUCCCUGCACUCACUCGAUUCUAAAUCCUACUCCUAAUUAAAAGAAACUGAACUGAGUAUACAGAGCUGGACUGGACUGAUACUGGGUUUACUGAUUUUUUGCUUGAGUUCUAUAACCGACUGAGUUCUACUGAGUUCUGUAACUGACUGAGAGUACUACUAAUGGUGACAUGACUGAUAUUCUGUAACUGACACUGGCUCGAGGAACACAACUAAAUUAUCGGGUAUUAAAUACCCCCAGGACUCGAUAGCAUAAAAGAAAGACAUAACAUGAUCAUAAAGGCAUAACCAUACUUGCUUGCUAACAAUGCACUUAUUUAGAUAUUUUGUCAAACACUUGAUAUACAUGAACUUAUGCAUGAAUGGAUCACAUAAUAAUAUGUCAUGCUUUCACUAGUCAUAUCACAUAAGCAUUUCAUCAAACACUUGUAAGGCAUAAGUUUGUACAUGAUUGUGACCACAUAAUAACAUGUCAUGAUUCCACUAUUUACUUCACAUAGGCAAUUUAGCAAACACUUGGGGAGAAUGGAUUAUUUAUAUGAUAAUGGUCAACAUAUGUAAGCAUGAAUACAAUAUUCAAUUUCAAUAUUAAAGGUUAAGCAUGCAAUUCAUAUAAUUCACCACAUAACUAUCUUAAUUUCAUGGGAACUUAUAAUUAAACAUGAAUUGGGUCCCAAUUACUAUCAUGAACAUGAAUACAUUCAAUUCCAAGCAUGGAAAUCAUAAAUCAUAAAUCUUAAAGUUUUAAAAAUAGAUUCUUGGAUUCUAUGGGUAGUAGGAACCCAUAGAUGAACACCUAACAUACCUUAGAAGAUUCUUUUUUGAAGGUUCUUGGAGAAUUUCUUGAGGAUUGACCUUGAUUUCUUGAACUAGGGGUUUUGCUUCUUUGAGAGAGAUGUUUUAAAUCUUAAAAAAAGUGAGUGAAUGAUGACAUAAUAGGGUAUUUAGGGCAUAAUUUUGUGUUUAAGGCUGAUCUGAGUUAUGAAAAAAGACCCUAUUACUCCUGGAAUGUUUUUAAUUUUCGUCACUAAAAAUCCAAUUUUUGGCCCUGGCGCAACACGCCGCUAUUGUGCCAAGCCACUGGAAAAUGACAACUGAGAAUGUGGCUAGUAGCAGGACAUGGUGGAAUUGUGUAGCAAUAUUGGAUGGGUCCUAGAAGCUCGGCACGACGCGGUACAAUUGAGUUGGCUUACUGAAAAUUGACAAAUGUAAAAAUGAGCUUUGACGCGAUGCGCCUAUAUCACGGUACCUCCCUGGAAAUUGACAAUUCCCAUUUUGGUUUACUCUGCGAUGUGCUAUAGGCUUGAAUUAUAGUGUUUAAUGAAAACUUAAAAUAGUCAUAACUUCUUAUCCGGUUAUCAGAUUUAGGCAAAUUUUAUAUCAUUGAAAAGCUAACUGAAUUUCCUACACAUUGGCAGGCUCUAAACUGAAAAACACUAAGCAUUUCAAAAAAUUUGUAUAGAAUAACUCAUGGACUAAGAGUUAAUUUAAUCUAGGGAAAUAUGGGGUAUUACAAUAUCUGCCCCUUGGGAACAUUCGUCCUCGAAUGAGACUGAUUAAGCUGAGGAACACUGAUCGACUGAUUUUACACACUGAACAUGUACACUGAAACAUAACUACAUGACUGAACUACUAAGAAGCUGAGUUCUCCUACUGAACAUGUAUAUAUGAUACACGAUUACAUGGCUGAACUGAUUCAUGAAUGCAUAACUGAAUAUAGAAUCGUAAUGAUACUAAGUUUAUAACUGUAACUGGAUCAUGGAACUGAGUAAAUCUAAGAAAGACCAUUACCUGAAAUUGAGAAUAUUAAUUAACCUGAGAUCGUUUAUUGAACCUAUAAACAUGAGAACAUGACUAAGUCUGAAAUAUGAUACAUGGACUGACUAUGAUGAAUGGAACUGGGCCCUUGAAUAUAUGCCAUGACUUGGGAAUGGUCAUUCGGCUGAGAUUGGAAUGAGAGGGUCAACUUAUGAGUACCCAUUACUCAAAAUUAGAUUCAUUACAUGAAGACAAAACUAAAAGGUUUAGGACAUGAAAGAUCGGGGGCUAUAGUGCAUCUCCCCCUUGGGACACUAUGUCCCUCGAAGAAUAUUGACUUGGCUAAGAUACUAAGAAAAAUUUGGGAUGAUGCACGAGGCAUCUACGAACUGAAUCGUAACUGAAUAUCUGAGAUUUAAAACUGAGGCAUGAUACAUGAACUGGGAUAAAUUUGUAACUACUAGAAUGCUCUAUCUUGGAACAAUCAUAUUCACAAAACUUCAAAUAGUACGACUGGAUGGAAAGAUGGGAAACUAAACGAACUUUUCUGCCUGACUGCUAAACUGAAUUCCUGGCUUUAGGAAUAACUCAUACUAAAAAGUGAUACUCACCUGGAGCAUUUUGUGACACUCUUUCUAUAAAUUUUUACUACCUUUAGGGUGCAAAAAAAUCUUAACAUGGUCUGAAUAAGAUGUCUGAAUGAGAAAUUACCUCCUUGCUAAAAUUCUGUAAUAUGAGGUGACGCCUAUGAAACAUCAUCUAAAAUAGAGUGACUAAGCCUUAUGCACUGCAACUACAAAUUUUCAAGCUUAGAAAUAUUCCUCAAAUACUCUCUCAACUAUACUUCCACCUUAGUAUGACACUUCACCUGAGACUACUGAAAAUAUUUACUUAGGCGUUGAGCUCGAAUGCAUAAACAUACUAACUUAUCUGAUUAACUGAAUAAAGGAUAGCUGAAUACUGGUCAUGUAAUAUUGAACUGUACUUAGUCUGGACUGAAAAUAUAGAGCACUAUGCAUUUGAGGUAAGGACUGAUUGGGAACAUAAGGUAACUGAGCAUGAAUUCGUGAAAACAAUAUUACCUAGGAAAGUAAGACUAAGCGCAUAACAUGAUUUUGAAAUAUUAAGAUACUGACAACUGAAUAAUUGGUAAGUAUACGCUUUGGUCAAGCAAAAUUGAAACUGGAUUGAGUUUUGUACUGAAUGCUGAACUGAGACUGUGACUGAGUUCUGAUAGCUACCUGUUCAGGACUAUCAUAAAUUGAGGAUCUAAAUGUACACUCAUAUUCUGCAUUUCUACAACUUCUUAUCUCAAGAAGAAUUCUGAUUUUUCCUCCUAUAACUAAAUACAACCUCUUGCUAGCUAUUCACCCGCACACUAACAUGACAUUCAAGCCUAUCUUCAUAACUACAGCCUCGUGUAAAACUAGUAUACAACAAUAUUUUCUUAACAUGAAACAUUUACUCUCUUCCUUCUAACCAACUCCUCAUCACUAAAUCAUUUCAUAAGAAAAGUUCACUGUAGGUUAAAACAUAAGGACCUGAAGCAUGAAUAACACAAUACCAAACUUGACACUUAAACGAGGCCUGAGGAAUAGAACAUCAACAUCCUAGAUUUAUCAAGAUAUCUAGACUGAUGAUAUACAUGAAAAAAAUCUGAAUUUAGCUGACCAUUAAGAGUAUAGAAUAAGUCAUGGAAACUACAAGAGUCAUGAGCUGCAUGACCUGAGUUUGAAGUUUCUGUAUUCAUGGAACACGAUUCGUAACACUGAGGAAACUGGAACUCCUUAUACUAGGAACUGUAAGGAGCUAUGAUCAUAGAACUGACAUGUACUGCGUGAGUAGCUAUCGUGAUAGCUGAAGCGUGAAACUUUAAAUUGAGGUAAGAACGGGUUGGGUAUCAACCUCUCCCACUACUUUUCUAUACAUACUAACAUUACUACUAAAAUUUGAAAGUCUGACUUGGUUACUUGUUCUACUAUCUCCCCUUUAGCUUAAACCUGUUAUUAUAAGUCUGUGAACCACUUAAUAACUCUAAAUUGAGCUAAGACCACUUUACUCUAGAGUCUGAGAUAUAACAAUACUCAUAAGUACUAAACUCGUUCUAAAGGACUACACCUGAUAAUUAAGGUCCACUACUAGUAUUUCAUUCUGAUAUAUGAUUCUUAGCUUUCUAUUGCCCCAAUAAUCAUCAUAUAGCAACCUCAGCACUGACUAACUUAGAAUUCUCAACUUCUCUUUCUACUAGUUCAAUCUGGAGAUUUAAACUUAAAUCAACUGAAACUGAGGUACUACCCCUUUAUUCAAGGACUGGUUCAUCAAGAAACUAAAAUGGAGCGACUCUAUUACUAAAAUUAACUAAAGGGAUUUUCAAGAAUAUUGUCAUUCUUAGACUUAGGCACUGGCACUCUGACUGAAGGCAAAACUGAGGUUGAGGAUAUCUGAUGGGAUUGGGAGAGGUACUAACCCCUGAUCUUGGCUUAAAGCUACUUGUUCUGACUAUCUUAUUCUUUUUAUCUUUCUUCCUACACUUCUCCCCCUUGGUCUACUUAAUAUGAACCCCAAGCCUAGAUAGAACAACAACCUACAAAUUGUUCUGAGAAACUACUAAAUAAUCAAAGGUAGUGAAAGCAGCUCUGAAUUCUGCAUGGGAGACAUGCUCAUUUAGGGGAUCUACCUGAACGGGCGGAGGUGCUGACUGAUUUCUAAUUUUUCUUUCGUUAGUCUUUUUGGGAGGCAUGUUCUUUAACUGUAAGGAAGAAAAGAAUUAGAUGGAUAGUUUAACUUUAUCUCAUUCUCACUCGCAUGACAUAAAUACUGAAAGAAGGGAAACUUUUCCUAAAACAUCUUAUAGUCUUCUGUCUAUAUGUAUGGUGCACUACAAACCUACGCACAAGACUCUACUAGAUACGACCUUCAGAAUCCCUAGGACUCUGUUGAACCUUAGUCUCUGAUACCAAGUUUGUAAGGACCCGAGACUACCCCCUAGUUGUCAUACGGUGCUUACGAUCCCGAAGGACCACAUGCUAAUCCAUGAUUUAUAUUUUCUAUGAGUACUGGAUAAUAAUACUGAAAUAAAUAUAGAAUUAGGCUAAAAUUCCAUUAGGUUCAAAAUCUAAAAUACUGGUAAAUAUAAUAUCUGAAAUAACAAUCCAUAAAACUGAAUACUAUCUGAAAAAUCUAGUUUGAAAGACUCUAAUCUGAACUCUCUAAAAGUGGAAUUGAAGGGAUAAGUCCGCAACUAACUCCAACAACUGAAAUAUUGAAGCUAAUGAAAUACUGAAAUAAAAAUAUACCCUCGAUAAAUGAUGACUCACUACUAAAUCAGGGACUGUUGACUGGAUCUGUCUAAGCGCGGUCAGGAACCUGAGUGUCUAAACCCAUGAUAUGAGACAUCAUAGCGGAAAGAAAUAGUAUGUGGUCAGUACAUGGAAUGUACUAGUAUGCUAGAUGAGGUAAGGCUGAAUACAAGGGUUCAUAUGCAUGAACAAUAAUUGACUGAAUGAUAUAAAGUAACUAGACAUAAGAGUACAAGGAUAAUUGAUACUGCUGUAAAUACUGAGUAUUCACUACUGUGCAUGUAAAUAGAUACUCUGACUGGGCUUAUCUAAAGAUAAGUACUGAAUUCUGAUAACUGAGUAAUUGAUCUCUGAAGCUACUGAUAACUGAACUACUAAUACUGAGUGAUUGUGUCUGACAGUCCUAAUUCUGUAGAACUGAAUUGAAUUUAAAACUAAGACUGAAACUGAGACUGUGGGAGGUAAUCAUCUAACUGACAUGCCUCUCUCUGAACUUAUUGGGGUCCAACCUGUAACCCCAGUUGGAAGGGUGCUAAUACUGUGCCACGAGAACUAAUACUGGAAAACCAGGAUGCCAAGCCUAACUGAUGGGUGACACUUGGGUGGAGCCAAUCCUAAUCUAACGGGUGACCCCUGGGAGGUAUUCAAUCCUAUUCUGAUGGGUGACUCAUUAUCUUGUGCUGGCUACGCAGUUCUGGAGUACAAGGACGACUACUAAUGACUCUGCCUCUCUAACGGGGAAGUUGUCAUCUCCGUACUCGCUCGUUGCUAAAUCCUACUCCCAACUUGAAGACACUGACCUGAGUAUAUGGAACUGGACGAGAAUGAUACUGAUUUUACUGAGUUUUUUCUGAGUUCUAUAAUCGACUAAGUUCUGCUAAGUUCUGUAACUGACUGAGAGUACUACCGAUCGUGACCUGACUGAGGUUCUGUAACUGACACUAGCUCUCAGUACAUAGCUAAAUUGUUGGAUAUUAAAUACCCUAGGACUCGAUGUCAUAAAAGAAAGACAUAACAUGAUCAUUAAGGCAUAACCAUACUUGCUUGCUAACAAUGCACUUAUUUAGACAUUUUGUCAAAUACUUGAUAUACAUGAACUUGUGCAUGAAUGGAUCACAUAAUAAAAUGUCAUGCUUUCACUAGUCAAAUUACAUAAACAUUUCAUCAAACACUUGUAGGGAAUAAGCUUGUACAUGAUUAGGACCACAUAAUAACAUGUCAUGAUUCCACUAUUUAAUUCACAUAGGCAAUUUAGCAAACACUUGGGGAGCAUGGAUUAUUUAUAUGAUAAUGGUCAACAUAUGUAAGCAUGAAUACAAUAUUCAAUUUCAAUAUUAAAGGUUAAGCAUGCAAUUCAUAUAAUUCACCACAUAACUAUCUUAAUUUCAUGGGAACUUAUAAUUAAACAUGAAUUGGGUCCCAAUUACUAUCAUGAACAUGACUACAUUCAAUUUCAAGCAUGGAAAUCAUAAAUCUUGAAGUUUUAAAAAUGGAUUCUUGGACUUUAUGGGUAGAAGGGACCCAUAGAUGAACAUCUAACAUACCUUGAAAGAUUCUUUCUUAAAGUUCUUGGACGAUUUCUUGAGGAUUGACCCUAAUUUCUUGAACUAGAGUUUUUGCCUCUUUGAGAGAAAAUGUUUUAAAUCUUAAGAAAAGUGAGUGAAUGAUGACAUAAUAGGGUAUUUAGGGCAUAAUUUCGUGUUUAAGGCUGAUCUAGGUUAUGGAAAAAGACCCUAUUACCCCCGAAAUAUUUUUAAUUUUCGUUACUAAAAACCUGAUUUUGGGCCAUGGCACAACGCUCUGCUAUCGUGCCAAGCCACUGGAAAAUGACAACUGAGAAUGUGGCUGGUGGCGUGAUGCGGUGGAAUCGCAUUGCAAUACUAGAUGGGACCUGGAAGCUCGGUGCGGCGCGAUACAGUAGCGUUGGCUCACUGAAAAUUGAUAAAUGUAAAAAUGAGCUUUGAAGCAAUGCAUCGGUAUCACGGUACCUCAUUGGAAACUGACAAUUGCCAUUUUGUCUUACUCCACGACGCGCUACAGGCCUGAAUUACGGUGUUUAACAACUAAAAUUUAAAAUAGCCAUAACUUCUUGCCCGGUUAUCGAAUUUAGGAAAAUUUUAUAUCAUUAGAAAGCUAAUUGAAUUUCCUACUCAUUGGCAGGAUCUAAAUUAAAAAAUACUGAGCAUUUCAAAAAUUUUAUUUAGAAUAACUCAUGGAUUAAGAGUUAAUUUAAGCUAGGAAAAUACACGGUAUUACAACUUGUGUGCAUUAUUUGUCAAAUCUUUUAAUCCAAAUAACAUUCCUACGGAUAAUAGCACCUUAGAUAAUGUUUUAAUUCUUGAUUCCCUUUAAUACUACCGUUUUGCCUAUAAUGAUGGCCAUGUCUGUCUUGGAAUUAUUUUAUUGGGAGGUUGAAAACUUGUUGGUUGGUCCACCUAGUUGGGUAAUAAUGCUUUAUGGUUCAUUCAUAUCUUUCACCUCGAAAAUCCCUUGUGGAUUUUUGAAUCAGUAGUAGUACUAUUUUUUAUGUCAUUUUUUGAAGAUAUGAUGGAACAAUUGAGUCUUAUGGCUCCUAAAAUGAAGGUAGUCUUACCUUUAGAUAUUGUUAAUGCCAUUAUGACCUUUGUAGUUCGCUUAUCUCUUGAUGAUUCCCAUAGCCAAUUCUUUUGUCUCAUUUUCAAUAAGAUUUUAAUGUUUAACACAAAGAAUCCUUGGUUAUUUCUUGAGUGUGUGAAACCUUGGCUUGAUGCUAUGAUUAUUUGUCCUAACCGUAUCCCUCAUGUCAUGAGGAUGUUGCAUGUGUUUGGCCUUUCUUUGGUUUUGCAAGGUUUGGAUUCGAGAUCGAAUCCUUUUAAAGAAGAAGAGGAAGAUACAAUCCAAAUUGCCUCCGGAUCUUUGGAUGGUAUAUUUAUGGUUCUAUAGGUCUUAAAGACAUCUUUGUGUCAUCAAAAGGGUGUCAUGUAAUGGUUUUUGCUCAAGGAAAUGUGAAAAGGGGCUAAAAGGCCCCUUGAAAGGGACAUGAGCCCAGUUUGCCUUGGAGGUGCACCCGACCUGCUCUCGCAGAUCAAGAGUAGGUCAAAACAGCUUCAUCCGCUCUAGAAAUUCCCUUGAAGUACAUCACAUCUGCCCCAAAGAUGCUAAAGCGGGUUGCCUUGCUUCAUUAAUGCAAAUGGGUCACUUUUGGGCCGAUUGUAAUAAGUUAAACCCUAG
rnacentral:lncRNA from 1 species